rnacentral:rRNA from 1 species
GUGGGGAAUUUUGGACAAUGGGCGAAAGCCUGAUCCAGCCAUGCCGCGUGCAGGAUGAAGGCCUUCGGGUUGUAAACUGCUUUUGUACGGAACGAAAAGACUCCUUCUAAUAAAGGGGGUCCAUGACGGUACCGUAAGAAUAAGCACCGGCUAACUACGUGCCAGCAGCCGCGGUAAUACGUAGGGUGCAAGCGUUAAUCGGAAUUACUGGGCGUAAUGCGUGCGCAGGCGGUUAUAUAAGACAGAUGUGAAAUCCCCGGGCUCAACCUGGGAACUGCAUUUGUGACUGUAUAGCUAGAGUACGGUAGAGGGGGAUGGAAUUCCGCGUGUAGCAGUGAAAUGCGUAGAUAUGCGGAGGAACACCGAUGGCGAAGGCAAUCCCCUGGACCUGUACUGACGCUCAUGCACGAAAGCGUGGGGAGCAAACAGGAUUAGAUACCCGUGUAGUCC